AACUACAGCCAUACCACCCUGAACACGUCCGAUCUCGUCUGAUUUUGGAAGCUAAGCAGGGUUGGGCCUGGUUAGUACUUGGACGGAAUACCACCUAUGAAUACUGGGUGCUGUAGGCU
rnacentral:rRNA from 1 species